UACGUAGGGGGCAAGCGUUGUCCGGAUUUAUUGGGCGUAAAGAGCGUGUAGGCGGCCAUACAGGUCAGCUGUGAAAACUCGAGGCUCAACCUCGAGACGUCGGUUGAAACCGUAUGGCUAGAGUCCGGAAGAGGAGAGUGGAAUUCCCGGUGUAGCGGUGAAAUGCGCAGAUAUCGGGAAGAACACCCGUGGCGAAGGCGGCUCUCUGGACGGUGACUGACGCUGAGACGCGAAAGCGUGGGGAGCAAACAGG
rnacentral:rRNA from 1 species